CCUACGGGUGGCAGCAGUGAGGAAUAUUGGUCAAUGGCCGUAAGGCUGAACCAGCCAAGUAGCGUGAGGGAAGACUGCCCUAUGGGUUGUAAACCUCUUUUAUGCGGGGAUAAAGGUGUCCACGUGUGGAUGUUUGCAGGUACCGCAUGAAUAAGGACCGGCUAAUUCCGUGCCAGCAGCCGCGGUAAUACGGAAGGUCCGGGCGUUAUCCGGAUUUAUUGGGUUUAAAGGGAGCGUAGGCCGGUCUUUAAGCGUGCCGUGAAAUUUUGUGGCUCAACCAUGAGAGUGCGGGAGGGGUAAGCGGAAUUCCUAGUGUAGCGGUGAAAUGCGUAGAUAUUAGGAGGAACACCGGUGGCGAAGGCGGCUUACUGGACCGUAACUGACGUUGAGGCUCGAAAGCGUGGGGAGCAAACAGGAUUAGAUACCCCAGUAGUC
rnacentral:rRNA from 1 species